AAAACAAAACAAAACAAAACAAAACAGGAGAGAAGGAAGGGAAGAAAGAAAGAAAGCCAUGGAUUUUUUUGGGGUUGAUGUUUCGUUAUUGCUUUUGUUCUUGUUGUUCCUCCGUCAUUUUGUUCAUUUGCUGUUGUUCCCUUCUUCAAAGCCAAGAAAUAUAGAGGGCUCUCUGAUCGAUCAAUGAUCUAUCUGUUUCCGGAAAAAUACUUAUACUUCUCUGUUAUAUUAAUCAAUCAUCUUUUAUGGACCUGUAAUUCUCAUCUCACCCAAACAGGAACAAACAGGCAUG
rnacentral:ribozyme from 12 species